rnacentral:rRNA from 1 species
AUUGAACGCUGGCGGCAUGCCUUACACAUGCAAGUCGAACGGCAGCACGGACUUCGGUCUGGUGGCGAGUGGCGAACGGGUGAGUAAUAUAUCGGAACAUACCUUGUAGUUGGGGAUAACUAUCCGAAAGGAUAGCUAAUACCGCAUACGUUCUAUGGAGGAAAGCGGGGGGUCGUAAGACCUCGUGCUAUAAGAGUGGCCGAUAUCUGAUUAGCUAGUUGGUGAGGUAAAGGCUCACCAAGGCGACGAUCAGUAGCUGGUCUGAGAGGACGACCAGCCACACUGGAACUGAGACACGGUCCAGACUCCUACGGGAGGCAGCAGUGGGGAAUUUUGGACAAUGGGGGCAACCCUGAUCCAGCAAUGCCGCGUGAGUGAAGAAGGCCUUCGGGUUGUAAAGCUCUUUUGUCAGGGAAGAAACGGUUGUGGCUAAUAUCCAUGGCUAAUGACGGUACCUGAAGAAUAAGCACCGGCUAACUACGUGCCAGCCGCCGCGGUAACAC